rnacentral:guide_RNA from 1 species
AAAACUUGGGCGUUAAUAGAUAUGUGACUAAAUGAUAU